CUGAGAGGGGUUAGCAGCAGAAAGAAACUAUGUGCGAUGAAGGAUGAGAUGGGAAAAAGCAUUCUUAUUAAAAUAUCCGUUAUGUAACUUCAACCAAUACACGUCGCCUACUGAGUAAAGGAUAUUGUUCAUUCUGAGCAAAUAUUUCAAAUUGUUUCACAAAGUAUUCUAUUUAUUUGUAUAAGCAUGGCUAAUAUGCAAACUGGAUCAUCCCUUGGAAACCUGGAAGUGAAUUUUGUGAUAAUACAAGGAAUCCUAGGGUAAUCAUAGCAGAUGUCUUCUGCAUGCCUUAAUUUACAAAUGCCCCCAAUGAAAAGGAGGAAGAAGGAGCCAGGAAGAUUGGAUGCAGUAGCCACCAAGCUGUUAACAGUAGUAUUCUAUCCACAAAACUCAAGAAGUAAACAGAAAUGGAGAAGAUCAAGUGUUCCUCUAAGUUUCACAAAGCAGGUAUGGAGAGCUGCUCAGCAACGUCACACUUAGCAAAUACAGAAUGGAAAGGCAGUUGCAGUUUCAUGCCUAAACUCCACGCGUAAUUCUCUUGUAGCCAGAAGACACCCAUUCUUCCUGGAGAAGGAGUGAAAAAGCAAAAACCGUAGAUUUUUAUGUCCAAGUCCAAGUCCCAUGACAGUAAUGACUGAUUAUUUAUCCCAUUCCUUCUCUACUCCUUUGUUUCCUAUCACACAGGGGAGGUCUGAGGGGGUGAGGGCUAAAGUGAUGCUGGGGUGUAGAAGAACCAGUGGGGUUCCAAUUGAGUUCAUUUCUCUCUGGAAUGUGAGGUACUUGAUAUUUUGUCCUCAACUUUGGAUACUACCUAUGAAUUUUGGUAAAAGGAAAAGUCCUUUUCAACACCAUUUUCCAUUGUGAUAUGUAAUUCUAAAAUGACACUGUCAUUUUGUUUUUGCCCAUGUACUAAAAUAUUAUAAUUAAUGUAAUUUUUUCUUUUUC